UACGUAGGUGGCAAGCGUUGUCCGGAAUUAUUGGGCGUAAAGCGCGCGCAGGCGGUUCUUUAAGUCUGAUGUGAAAGCCCACGGCUCAACCGUGGAGGGUCAUUGGAAACUGGGGAACUUGAGUACAGAAGAGGAAAGCGGAAUUCCACGUGUAGCGGUGAAAUGCGUAGAGAUGUGGAGGAACACCAGUGGCGAAGGCGGCUUCCUGGUCCAGCACCGACGUUCAGGCACGAAAGCGUGGGGAGCAAACAGG
rnacentral:rRNA from 1 species